rnacentral:rRNA from 1 species
GACGAACGCUGGCGGCGUGCUUAACACAUGCAAGUCGAACGAUGAAGCUAGAGCUUGCUCUGGUGAAUUAGUGGCGAACGGGUGAGUAACACGUGAGUAACCUGCCCCGAACUCUGGGAUAACUGCUGGAAACGGUAGCUAAUACUGGAUACGACCUACGAAGGCAUCUUCUGUAGGUGGAAAGAAUUUCGGUUCGGGAUGGACUCGCGGCCUAUCAGCUUGUUGGUGAGGUAAUGGCUCACCAAGGCGACGACGGGUAGCCGGCCUGAGAGGGUGACCGGCCACACUGGGACGGAGACACGGCACAGACUCCUACGGGAGGCAGCAGUGGGGAAUAUUGCACAAUGGGCGCAAGCCUGAUGCAGCAACGCCGCGUGAGGGAUGACGGCCUUCGGGUUGUAAACCUCUUUUAGCAGGGAAGAAGCGAAAGUGACGGUACCUGCAGAAAAAGCACCGGCUAACUACGUGCCAGCCGCCGCAGUAA